GGCCCUUCCACCAUGUGAGUAUACAGAGAGAAGGUAUGAUCCAUGGAUCAGGAAACCAGCCUUCCCUAGACAUGGAAUCUGCUGGCACCUUGAUUUUGAACUUCCCAGACUCCAGAACUACUCCUGCCCCUGCCACGAGAACACACCCUUUCCAGUUUGCUGGAGAAAUAUAAGAGAAGUCCAGUGAAAGAGAGCUGAGUUUCCCCAAUGAUGCCAUCAAGAUGAACUAACUACAGUUAACCAGCCAGCUGAUAGCAGAUGCAUGAGUGAGCCCAGCUGAGAGCAGGUUGUGCAAGCAUGGCACGUGCAUCUGUUUGGCUUGUGGUGAGGCCUCAGGAAGCUUACAGUCAUGGUGGAAGGCAAAGAGGGAGCCAGUACAUCACGUGAACUCGUAGAGUGAGAACUCAUUCACUACCAUGAAGACAACACCAAGCCAUUCCUGAGGUGAAACUGAAAUUGGCUGUAUCAUCUGAAACUUCAUCUGUGAAGUCCCUGGUGGUUUCCUAGAUGACUACACAGUUGAGUUGCCUCUGAUUGGAAAAGCAGUGUUUUGGUUUUUCAGUUUGUACAAGAGGAAGAAGACGCAUGAUAUGUGUUUGGCUCAUGUGCCUGAAUAUGGCUCCACAGGGAAGACUUGAUACAGCUGAAGCUAUUGCUUUUUAGAGACUUUUUAUUUUGAGCAGCUGCCUUAACAGCCUUCGUCUUGUUACAUCACAUGAGAUAUAUCUCUGGAAUAGGAAGAGAAAAAAGACAUGACUGAGCAAUAAUUUUUGACUAAAACUUAAAAUUACAAAACCAAAACCAGAGAUAGAUGUCCCUGAAGUUGUAUUUUUAUAGUAUGUGAGAACACAAUUUUCUUAUCCUAGUUUUAAGGCAUUCCUCUGGACCCAGGAUUUUUGUUUAGUUUCAUUCACAUAAUCAAACUCUUUUUUUUUUUUUUGCCAUAGACUAAUGCAUUUUGGUGUAAUGAUCUGAGCCCUUAUCCAGAAGGCAUCUAAGACUCAUGUACAAAAAUAGAUUUCAGGGCUAAACAUUCUAAAAGACAAUUGAGUGCUUCUUUUUUCUCCGGCCCCUAGAUGUAAAUGAAUAACCUCUGUUCACUAACUCUUAAUGUAAUAUAAGGGAUAAAUUAUGCUUGUUUAUUUAAUUGUGCUUAACCAGAGUACUAGGUUGGAGUCAAACCACAGAUAUAUUUGUGAGAUGUGACAAAAUGUAGCUUUUAGCCCGUAAUACCCAAGUCAUCUGGGAACAUAACUGAUGACAGUGUCAACACCUUUCAGGAAUUCUGGAGGUGCCUUUGAGUUUAGAAAUUCGUAGGUUCUCUAGAAGCAACAGUAGCAUACUAAAUUAACACAUAACAUUUCAAGCUACAUUUACAUAAUUGCAGUGGUUAUGAUUAAUACAAAUUAUAUUAACUGCCUGUUUUACUCCUUAUAGCUGAUUGGCUGAAUUUACCAGUGGGUUUGGUAUGUUCAACAAAUGAUCCAAAUUACCUUUUCAUUUCAGUUAAGAAACUAAUCAAAGCAAAUACACUUUGAUUUGUUGAGAGGCAGAGAUUCUCCCUAAGUGGCAAUGUCCUUGGCCUUCUAAGCUAAAACCUAAAUGGAACUAUAAUAUAUAUUUUGAUGCUUUAUCUCACUUGAGUUUUUUAUUCUUUAACUGAAGGGCAGCCAUGGACCAUAAAUACAUAGAAGAUAAAAAUAUAUUGAGCUUAGGAGUUUGGUCUGUUCAAUGGAUGAGAACUUUAUAUUUUCCCUUAUAAACACAAUUUUCAAAGAAUAGCCUGUAAUAGUCGUGAAAAUGGAAACCAAUACUGGGGAAAUGUGGACUGCAACUCUGAAAAGUUGAAGACUAUUCACCCCGGUGGACUCAUCAUGUUGGGGACUUUCAAUUGCUACUUUAAAAAGAACGCUUCACUGAAAUAGGUCUCAUCCCAUCAGGAACAUAGAAAAACAAGCAGCAGGCCGGGCGCGGCGGCACAGGCCUAUAAUCCCAGCUACUUGGGAGGCUGAGGCAGAAGAAUCGCUUGAACCCAGGAGGCGGAGGUUGCAGUGAGCCGAGAUCGCGCCACUGCACUCCAGCCUGGGCGACAGAGAGAGACUCUGUCUCAAAAAAAAGUAAAAAAAAAGAAAAAAAGGAAAACAAAAGAAAAAAGAAAAGCAGUUGUUUAUCUUUU
ensembl:lncRNA ASMER1 adipocyte associated metabolic related lncRNA 1